rnacentral:sRNA from 1 species
AUGGACCACGCGUCCACUGCGGUUCUGAGCGNUGUCUGCGCCCACCUGACAGCUACUCGCGACGUGUUGUUAGCC